rnacentral:rRNA from 1 species
GAACCGUGCAAACGUUGUUCGGAAUCACUGGGCGUAAAGCGCGCGCAGGCGGGUGUGCAAGUCGGAAGUGAAAUCCCGAGGCUCAACUUUGGGACUGCUUCCGAAACUGCAUGUCUGGAGACCGGUAGAGGUGGGUGGAAUUCCCGGUGUAGCGGUGGAAUGCGUAGAGAUCGGGAAGAACACCUGUGGCGAAGGCGGCCCACUGGGCCGGAUCUGACGCUGAGGCGCGAAAGCGUGGGGAGCAAACAGGAUUAGAUACCCUGGUAGUCCACGCCGUAAACGAUGGGCACCAGGUGCCGGGGGGAGCGACCCCUUCGGUGCCGCAGCUAACGCGUUAAGUGCCCCGCCUGGGGAGUACGGCCGCAAGGCUG